rnacentral:rRNA from 1 species
UGAGGAAUAUUGGUCAAUGGACGAGAGUCUGAACCAGCCAAGUAGCGUGCAGGAAGACGGCCCUAUGGGUUGUAAACUGCUUUUAUAAGGGAAUAAAGUGAGUCUCGUGAGACUUUUUGCAUGUACCUUAUGAAUAAGGACCGGCUAAUUCCGUGCCAGCAGCCGCGGUAAUACGGAAGGUCCGGGCGUUAUCCGGAUUUAUUGGGUUUAAAGGGAGCGUAGGCCGGAGAUUAAGCGUGUUGUGAAAUGUAGAUGCUCAACAUCUGAACUGCAGCGCGAACUGGUUUCCUUGAGUACGCACAAAGUGGGCGGAAUUCGUGGUGUAGCGGUGAAAUGCUUAGAUAUCACGAAGAACUCCGAUUGCGAAGGCAGCUCACUGGAGCGCAACUGACGCUGAAGCUCGAAAGUGCGGGUAUCGAACAG